rnacentral:lncRNA from 1 species
AUUCGAAAACAACAAUAAAAAAUAUGGGUCACCGAUGAGUUAAAAAAGAUAUUUGAAUUCUAAUGCCAAAAAAUAGCAUUUUUGCACCAAAGGGAGAUAAUUUGGAGCUUUUUCAAUGAUAUCUACAUUUUAAAAAUCACCUAUUGAUUUUUUGGAAUAAUUUUUGUACCAUAUGAUAAAGUAACAACUACUAAAGGUAAUUAAUAAAAUUUGUAAUGAAAAAUAAAUGUUUAUUUUUUUUCUGAAAAUCUUAUACCCGCGAGCCUCCUUAA